UACGAAGGGGGCGAGCGUUGUUCGGAUUUACUGGGCGUAAAGGGCGCGCAGGCGGCUUUGUUUGUCAGGCGUGAAAGCCCCGGGCUUAACCUGGGAACUGCGUUUGGUACGGCAGGGCUAGAGUUCGGGAGAGGAGAGUGGAAUUCCCAGUGUAGAGGUGAAAUUCGUAGAUAUUCGCAAGAACACCAGUGGCGAAGGCGGCUCACUGGCCCGAUACUGACGCUGAGGCACGAAAGCGUGGGGAGCAAACAGG
rnacentral:rRNA from 1 species